rnacentral:rRNA from 1 species
UGUGUAGGCGGAGAGAUAAGUCAGACGUGAAAAUUACGGGCUCAACCCGUAACCUGCGUUUGAAACUGUUUCCCUUGAGUGUCGGAGAGGUAAAUGGAAUUCCCAGUGUAGCGGUGAAAUGCGUAGAUAUUGGGAGGAACACCGGUGGCGAAGGCGGUUUACUGGACGACAACUGACGCUGAGACACGAAAGUGUGGGGAGCAAACA